AGUGGCGAACGGGUGAGUAACACGUAAGCAAUUUGCCUCUAAGAUCGGGAUAACCUUGCCAACGCGGGGCUAAUACCGGAUGUGGUCCAAUUAACGCAUGUUUUUUGGAUUAAAUGGAGUGAUCCGCUUAGAGAUGAGCUUGCGUCCCAUUAGCUUGUUGGCGGGGUAAUGGCCCACCAAGGCUAUGAUGGGUAGCCGGCCUGAGAGGGUGAUCGGCCACAUUGGGACUGAGAUACGGCCCAGACUCCUACGGGAGGCAGCAGUAGGGAAUUUUGCGCAAUGGGCGAAAGCCUGACGCAGCAACGCCGCGUGAGGGAUGACGGCCUUCGGGUUGUAAACCUCUGUUGAGUGGGAAAAAAAGGUAGCAAUACUUUGAUGGUACCACUCGAGUAAGCACCGGCUAACUACGUGCCAGCAGCCGCGGUAAUACGUAGGGUGCAAGCGUUGUUCGGAAUCACUGGGCGUAAAGGGAGUGUAGGCGGGAUUGUAAGUUAGAAGUUUAAUGUACGGGCUUAACCCGUAUUCGGCUUUUAAUACUGCGAUUCUUGAGUAUAGGAGAGGGCGAUGGAAUUCCAGGUGUAGCGGUGGAAUGCGUAGAUAUCUGGAAGAACACCAGUAGCGAAGGCGGUCGCCUGGCCUAAUACUGACGCUGAUGCUCGAAAGCUAGGGGAGCAAACAGGAUUAGAUACCCUGGUAGUCCUAGCCGUAAACGCUUAACGCUAGUUGCCGGAUGAGUCAAUCCUUCGGUGACGAAGCUAACGCAUUAA
rnacentral:rRNA from 1 species